ACGCUCGACACCUACGGAGGCAGCAGUGGGGAAUAUUGCACAAUGGGGGAAACCCUGAUGCAGCGACGCCGCGUGGAGGAAGAAGGUCUUCGGAUUGUAAACUCCUGUCCCAGGGGACGAUAAUGACGGUACCCUGGGAGGAAGCACCGGCUAACUACGUGCCAGAGCCGCGGUAAUCUGAGCGGGCUGGCAAGGC
rnacentral:rRNA from 1 species